rnacentral:rRNA from 1 species
UACGAAGGGUGCAAGCGUUAAUCGGAAUUACUGGGCGUAAAGGGUGCGUAGGCGGUUAGUUAAGUCUGUUGUGAAAUCCCCGGGCUCAACCUGGGAAUGGCAUUUGGGACUGCAAGGCUUGAGUGCGGCAGAGGAGACUGGAAUUCCUGGUGUAGCAGUGAAAUGCGUAGAUAUCAGGAGGAACACCGAUGGCGAAGGCAGGUCUCUGGGCAUUAACUGACGCUGGGGAGCGAAAGCAUGGGGAGCGAACAGG